rnacentral:rRNA from 1 species
CGAUCGCUAUAGGGGUAGGGCUAAGCCAUGGGAGUCGUACGCUCUCGUGGAAGAGGGCGUGGCGGACGGCUGACUAACACGUGGCUAACCUGCCCUUGGGAUCCGGAUAACCCCGGGAAACUGGGGCUAAUCCGGAAUAGGUAAGGGGCUCCGGAACGACUUCUUGCCUAAAGGCCCCUCGGCUGAUCCCGUCGGGGGGCGCCCAAGGAUGGGGCUGCGGCCCAUCAGGCUGUUGGCGGGGUAAAGGCCCGCCAAACCGAUAACGGGUAGGGGCCGUGGGAGCGGGAGCCCCCACUUGGGCACUGAGACAAGGGCCCAGGCCCUACGGGGCGCACCAGGCGCGGAACGUCCCCAAUGCGGGAAACCGUGAGGGCGUUACCCCUAGUGCCCUCGCAAGAGGGCUUUUCCCCACUUUAUAACGGUGGGGGAAUAAUCGGGGGGCAAGACUGGUGUCAGCCGCCGUGGUAAUACCAGCCCCGCGAGUGAUCGAGACGUUUAUUGGGCUUAAAGCGCCCGUAGCCGGCCCGUAUAGUCACCGUUUUAAAGACCCGAGCUCAACUCGGGGAGUGGCGGUGAUACUUUACGGGCUAGGGGGCGGGAAAGGUCGGAGUACUCCCGGAGUAGGGGCGAAAUCCUCAGAUCCCGGGAGGACCACCAGUGGCGAAAGCUCCGGCUAGAACGCGCCCGACGGUGAGGGGCGAAAGCCGGGGUAGCAAAAGGGAUUAGAUACCCCUGUAGUCCCGGCUGUAAACGAUGCGGGCUAGGUGUCGCGUGGGCUUUGAGCCCACGCGGUGCCGCAGGAAAACUGGUAAGCCCGCCGCCUGGGGAGUACGGCCGCAAGGCUGAAACUUAAAGGAAUUGGCGGGGGAGCACCACAAGGGGUGGAACCUGCGGCUCAAUUGGAGUCAACGCCUGGAAUCUCACCGGGGGAGACCGCAGGAUGACGGCCAGGCUAACGACCUUGCCAGACUCGCGGAGAGGAGGUGCAUGGCCGUCGCCAGCUCGUGUUGUGAAAUGUCCGGUUAAGUCCGGCAACGAGCGAGACCCCCACCUCUAGUUGGUAGCCGUCCCUCCGGGGAUGGCCCACACUAGAAGGACUGCCGGUGUUAAACCGGAGGAAGGAGGGGGCCACGGCAGGUCAGCAUGCCCCGAAACCUCCGGGCCGCACGCGGGUUACAAUGGCAGGGACAGCGGGAUCCGACCCCGAAAGGGGAAGGCAAUCCCACAAACCCUGCCUCAGUUUGGAUCGAGGGCUGAAACUCGCCCUCGUGAACGAGGAAUCCUUAUGUAACCGCGGGUCAACAACCCGCGGUGAAUAUGU